AUUAAACGCUGGCGGCAUGCCUUACACAUGCAAGUCGAACGGCAGCACGGGGGCAACCCUGGUGGCGAGUGGCGGACGGGUGAGUAAAGCAUCGGAACGUAUCCUGGAGUGGGGGAUAACGUAGCGAAAGUUACGCUAAUACCGCAUAUUCUGUGAGCAGGAAAGCAGGGGACCGCAAGGCCUUGCGCUCUUUGAGCGGCCGAUGUCAGAUUAGCUAGUUGGUGAGGUAAAGGCUUACCAAGGCGACGAUCUGUAGCGGGUCUGAGAGGAUGAUCCGCCACACUGGAACUGAGACACGGUCCAGACUCCUACGGGAGGCAGCAGUGGGGAAUUUUGGACAAUGGGCGCAAGCCUGAUCCAGCCAUGCCGCGUGAGUGAAGAAGGCCUUCGGGUUGUAAAGGUACUCUUUCGGUCCGGGAACGGAAAUACGG
rnacentral:rRNA from 1 species